AGAGUUUGAUCCUGGCUCAGGAUGAACGCUGGCGGCGUGCCUAAUACAUGCAAGUCGAACGCGAGCACUUGUGCUCGAGUGGCGAACGGGUGAGUAAUACAUAAGUAACCUGCCCUAGACAGGGGGAUAACUAUUGGAAACGAUAGCUAAGACCGCAUAGGUACGGACACUGCAUGGUGACCGUAUUAAAAGUGCCUCAAAGCACUGGUAGAGGAUGGACUUAUGGCGCAUUAGCUGGUUGGCGGGGUAACGGCCCACCAAGGCGACGAUGCGUAGCCGACCUGAGAGGGUGACCGGCCACACUGGGACUGAGACACGGCCCAGACUCCUACGGGAGGCAGCAGUAGGGAAUCUUCGGCAAUGGGGGCAACCCUGACCGAGCAACGCCGCGUGAGUGAAGAAGGUUUUCGGAUCGUAAAGCUCUGUUGUAAGUCAAGAACGAGUGUGAGAGUGGAAAGUUCACACUGUGACGGUAGCUUACCAGAAAGGGACGGCUAACUACGUGCCAGCAGCCGCGGUAAUACGUAGGUCCCGAGCGUUGUCCGGAUUUAUUGGGCGUAAAGCGAGCGCAGGCGGUUUGAUAAGUCUGAAGUUAAAGGCUGUGGCUCAACCAUAGUUCGCUUUGGAAACUGUCAAACUUGAGUGCAGAAGGGGAGAGUGGAAUUCCAUGUGUAGCGGUGAAAUGCGUAGAUAUAUGGAGGAACACCGGUGGCGAAAGCGGCUCUCUGGUCUGUAACUGACGCUGAGGCUCGAAAGCGUGGGGAGCGAACAGGAUUAGAUACCCUGGUAGUCCACGCCGUAAACGAUGAGUGCUAGGUGUUGGAUCCUUUCCGGGAUUCAGUGCCGCAGCUAACGCAUUAAGCACUCCGCCUGGGGAGUACGACCGCAAGGUUGAAACUCAAAGGAAUUGACGGGGGCCC
rnacentral:rRNA from 1 species